GGGAACAAUCUCCUUGACGCUGUCACCUCCAGAGACCCUAGAGAAUAACAGUCUCUGCUGUCUGGCAAUUGCAGAAAUGCUUGCCGAGGCCUGCAAGCCUCUGUCACUCAUCCUGACUGUGACUGAGAAGGCAGAACACCACCGCUCAGAGCGGCUGCCGUAGCCCCUCAUCACCGCCUUAUUCUGGUUGGAACAGAAGGCUUCUCUUGUUCCCCCAUUUAUUUGUGAGUAUCCCCAAUCGACCCCUCCCUGCACUACCAAGGCAUUGAAGAGGGAGGACCCAUUAGUGAACGCUGGAUUUUCCACAAGCCAGGCCAGGGGUCGCACGUGCCCCCUUCCUGUUCCUCCUGCCCUCUCAGGAUCUGAGCCACUGGCAAGAGAUGAAGCAGGAGCUGGGAAGAGCCAUCCCCUUCCCCCAGGAUGGCCUGAUUCAAGCCUUUCUUCUGCCAAGGUCACAGGUGGGGUGUUUAUUCGUGUGUUUAUUUCAUGUCCCAGUCAGGAACCCCUCCCGUAGGGCAAAGCAGGAUCGUCCUUGGGCAUGGUGGAAAGGGGUUCUGUUCUUGCCCACUGCCCUAGCUUCCAGCCUAACAGCCUGGAGUCCUGCUCUUGGGGUCUUGCCCUUGAGAUUAGCUAGGACCCUGUUUUUUCCUUUUUUGGGAAUAUAAUCCCUGACCUCCAAAAGAACAGUCUUUCCUCUUAAGAGCAAGCCUUUGCUUAGCACCGGCUGUGUGCCCACGCCACGCCCACCCCCAGAGACUCUGUGGCAGACAGAAGCGUCCUGGCCCCAAGCUGCUCAGCACCUAGCCAGGCACUGACACUCAGCACAUCUGGAGAGGGGUUGCUGCCCAGCAGCCUGUGGGCCAGGUGUUUGUGCUUUCUUGGGCCCAGAACUGCUUCUUUGAUGGGUAGGAAAGGUGGGGAGUUGUGCCCUGCAGCUGACAACCCAAGCAGAGUGGGGAGCCCCUGACACACUAGUUGACAAGCUGCGCUCUUACCCCCUGGGGUGUUACUGCCAACCAUCCCCCACCCAAGUUCUGGUAGAAAUAAGAGUAGGCUAAGCAGAACCUCCUCUCUGGAAAAUGAUGAGCUCAGCAAGCCUUUUGUCUCUCAGACCACAACUGUAAGGUACCCAGAAAAAGGAGAAGACUUCGUCAAUUUGGUUCACUUAGCAGGAAGAAUCUUCCCCAUCAGGGUCCACAGAGGAGGAAAUCCUAGAAGGGGUGCUUGGUGAGCCUGGGAACUGAUGCUGUGGUGGGUCUGUGCUGCUCCCUGCUGGGCACAGGCAGCAUGACAGCCAAGGGGAAGCAUGGCCGGUGAUGGAAUCACAGCGGCAGUGGCAUUUCUGGACUGUUGUCACCGUGUCACCUCCAAUGGAGGGAUUGUGCAGCCCGUGAGUACACGCAGAGCUCAGGUGACUUGUUCCUCUGAAAUCUCUUCUCUCUCCCUUCUUGUUCACCAUGACUCAG